UUGAAAGGGAAACGAUUGAAGUUAGUCGUAACUUCGGGUAAUCAGCCUUUCGGGUGCGAUUCUGUGGGGUUUGAGGAGCUUUAACACCUUCAUGCUUUGCAUAUUCGUGCUCUUGGGUGUACUUGCCCGUGUGGUUGGUUAACAUCAAUUUCGGGCACCAUAAAAUGGCUGGAGGAAUGUAGCUUCGAUCUUGUAUUGAAGUGUUAUAGCCUUCGGUAGAUGUGGUGAUCGAGAUUGAGGAUUGCAACGGAUACCUUUCGGGGCUACCUGUCUGAUCUCUGAUCGUUGUUUUGGUGCUGAAAGCGUGCUUAUAGUUAUCAAAGUCGAUGGUCAAUAGGUUAGAAUGGGUUAAAUUCGUUAAGGAUGUUGACGUA
rnacentral:rRNA from 1 species